AACGAACGCUGGCGGCAGGCCUAACACAUGCAAGUCGAGCGCACCCUCGGGUGAGCGGCGGACGGGUUAGUAACGCGUGGGAAUAUGCCCAGAUCUACGGAAUAGCCUCGGGAAACUGAGAGUAAUACCGUAUACGCCCUUCGGGGGAAAGAUUUAUCGGAUUUGGAUUAGCCCGCGUUGGAUUAGGUAGUUGGUGGGGUAAUGGCCUACCAAGCCUACGAUCCAUAGCUGGUUUGAGAGGAUGAUCAGCAACACUGGGACUGAGACACGGCCCAGACUCCUACGGGAGGCAGCAGUCGGGAAUAUUGGACAAUGGGGGAAACCCUGAUCCAGCCAUGCCGCGUGAGUGAUGAAGGCCUUAGGGUUGUAAAGCUCUUUCGCUGGGGAAGAUAAUGACGGUACCAGUAAAGAAGCCCC
rnacentral:rRNA from 1 species